AUGAGAACUUGCCCCUCGGGGUAGAUCUCCCACCCUUUGUGUAAUCAAUACCAUUGUUGCUUUGCCGGGCCCGGCUCUCGGCCCGCCGGCUUCGGCUGGUCAGCUGCCCGGCAGAGGCCCAAACCAUCGUUUUAUUGCCGUCGGAGUGACUAUCUAAUAGUUA
rnacentral:misc_RNA from 1 species